CUUGAAGUGCUGGUGAAAAACAGGAUUGAAAAACAGGAAGGAAGAAGCAGAGAUUUGACUUAUGGAGAUUGAACUAGAGGACUAAAGCACUGCACCUGGCCCACCAUGAUGUUGUCACUGGAUCCUGGACAGUUACUUCACAUGCCUGAAUUUCUACCUCAUCCAGGUUUGUUCACAGAGCUAAACACUUGGAAAAACAUUUUGGAAAAAAAAAAAUGAAAUGCUUAUUCAUGGGAAAUCUUUACUCCACCCAGGAAAAGAUAAAUGGCACUUAAGAACUACUCUUUAAGAGUGAGAUGUUUAUUGAAAUAAGGGAGGCUAAUUGUCAAAAAUGAUGAGAAACAAAUGUGAAAAGCCCUAUGUUUGGAGCUCUGGCCACAUGGAGCGUUUAAACAAGCAUAUGCUGUGUUUCAAAAGAAGAGACGUAGUUUGAAAGUUGCCAUUUUUUGGAAAAGAAAUGUUCAGUGAAAGAGAGAGAGAGAAAACAACAACAACAACAACAAUCAUGGCUGCUAACAGCAGUUCCAGAACAUAGAGUAAGAAAGAGAACAUGGCUGCCAAUGUUCUCGUCUCUGAAAGGCUGAAACUCCACUUUGAUAUCAGUUUACCUUUUUAACAAUAUUUUCAUGACAAACCAGUUCUGCUGGAGACAUGUGUUAAAGGGGGUGAUGUGUGAUUGCUGCUAGAGAUAGGAUCACGUUCUCUAUAGAUAUGAGAUGUGUAGUUCUUCUUGGUCCAGUUCUCAGUCUUUCCACUGUUUUGCCAUGAAUUCCCAGAUCAGUCUAGAAUAGAGUUGCUCAAAGUUGGCACUGUUGACAUUUUAGGGAGAAAAUGCGUUAUUGGGAAAGGGCUGUUCUGUAUGUUGUCGGAUGUUUAACAGCAUCCUGGCCUCUACACAUGAGAUGCCAGUAGCAGCCCCCACCCAUUUGUAACAACUAAAAGUGUCUCCAGACAUGGCCAGAUGUCCUCAGGGAGGCGCAAGGAAAGGAGAGAGAAUUUACUGAGGAGAGCUUUUUACAUUUAUUGCUCUAGAUGAUAAAACAUAAAUUUACGGUUCUCAGAUAAGCUGUGUAUUGUAUGUUUACAAAUGUAUUCAGCAAAUGUAUUCAAGCAAACUUCAUGACACCAGAAUAGGGUAAACUUGGUCUUAGAUGGUCCCCAUUAGAAAAGGUCAGUAAUUUAGUAGUACUUCUAUUCUUCUCAGGCAAUAGGCAUUAUUUCUGGUGCCUCUAUAGAUUGUCUACAGCCUACAUGGGCUUUGGAAUCAGACUGACCUGGAUUUUGGUGCUGGCUCCCUCACCACCAGUGUAACCAUAGGCUUAUUAUUUGACCUCUCUAAACCUCAGUUUUCCUCAUCACAAAAGGGAGUCAGUAUUGACCUAAGAGGACUAUUGUAAGGAUUAAAUAAAAUAGCACACCUUCAUAUUUACACUUGGUAAUUCCCUAAUAAAUCAUCAUUUGUUAUGAUGUGGUGCAAUCACAUUCAGGUUCAAUGAAGUAGAGAUGUCAUUUUUCUUGUUUAACCACUGAACCAAUUAUGACUGACAGAUCUCAUUAAAUAGAGCAUGUUUAAAUAACCAUACAGUAGAACCUACAAAUAAUUAGAGCUCUUUCCAGCUUUUAUUUUUGACUUGUCUUUAGUUAUCCUCAUGUUGGAUGCACAUUAGUCACUUGUUUCUGUCCCAUCAGCCCACAGUUUUGUUUUCAGUGGGAGUGCCCAGUGAAAUAAUCAACAUGAACUUAAUUGCAACUUGACAAGCUGCAGAGUUGUUUCAAUAAAUGUGCAACAUGCUGAGCUGUAUGCACUUAGAAGUCAGCAAAUGUUGACCAGUAAUAUCUUAUUUGGGAUCCACCCAGGCCCCAUAACCCAGUGAUGGCAUUCCUCUGAAAUUAGGAAGAGAUUCAAGUUGCUCAAUGCUCCAUUUUAAACAGAAAUACACCAGCAAUAUACCAGCUGCAGGAAAGAGGAUGGGAAAGAGUCUCACAGCAGUCAAGAGCAGACAAUGAUCCAAGUGACAAGAAGACACAGGCCCAUUUGGGGUGUCUCCCAUUCAUUUCUGCUGAACUUUUUCCGAAGACCAUGCUGCUCAGAAUUGUGAAAGGGGACCAAUGACUAUUAUGAGAAACAAAAUAUUCUUCUUUACAAAAGCCUCCCAGAGGAAUAGGGAUGUUUACAGCACUUGGAGAAUGGCCAAGCUGGUGUAUCUUUCAGCACAAAGUGGAGACAUGUUCAAGUCCAGUUCACAGCCUAUGGUUUGUACAUAGGCAAAGCACACCAAAUGUCUCCCUAAAGGUGGUGUUACCCGAAUAGCCCUUUGAAGGCUUCUACCUGGGGAACAUGAUUGCCCAUUGACAAUCACCUCCAUUUGAGAGACUCAUCUGCCUCAAUGCAUUGUGCAACUUCAGGAAGCCUCAUUCGAGGGCCUGAGACAAACAUCUGGAGUGUUCAGCUGAGUCAAACCAAGUAAGUCAAAAGGGUGACCACUGUGCCCCUGAUCCUUUCCAGCCUCAUCGCUAACUCAGUGGUUGCUUCUCACUAGUACUAGUAGUACCUCCUGGGAGCAAGAAACAGAAAUACAACUCAUGGCAGUUUAGGCCUAAUGAAAGGAAGACCCUUUUAAUCAGGAGAAAGAAAAUGUUCAAACUCCAGCAUCAUAGUGUGAGUGUGGAGUGAGCAUUUCCUAGAAGGGAACUGUUGUUUUGGGCAUAUAAAACAACAGAUGUCCACUCCUACUUUCUGUCAUUUCCCACAGGUGAUAUUGAUGUAUAGCAGUAUUGAUGCUUUAAAUCAGGUUCACUACCUGCUUUUAUAAAGUUUUUUUUUUUGAUACAGCCAGUUCUAUUCAUUUACUUCUAAUUUCUGGUUGUCCAUUUGUUAUAAUGGCAGAGUUAAAUAGCUGCUCUAGAGACUAUGUGGUCUACAAAGCCUGUAUCUAAUAUCUGACUCUUCACAGAAAAACUGCUUAUCCCUGCUUUAAAUCAUUCUCUCAGAGAAUAUCUAGAUUUAAAAUUUGGCUUAAGUAAAUCCAAAAUGGUUACAGGUUUGACAAACCUUUCCAGUCCCUAUUUUUUUUAAAGGGACUGAUUAUAUAUUUAUAUAUAUUUGAUUAUAUGUCUAAAUGUAUAUAUUUAUUGCUGUAACUACCCUGAGAUAUUUAGUUUAUUUAGUUGUUUGUCAACCAGUUUUAAAAACUAAAACAUAUGAGAUUUAUAACAGAUUUACACUUCAAAAACUGAUCAUUUAAGAACAAAUAAUUAGGCUUUCCAUCUACCCUAAAUGUUCAAGAAUUUUAUGUAGUAUGGCCAUGACUCUACUUCAACUCCUUUUUAUUAAUUAACCAACUAAUUUCAAAUCAUAAACAGAUAAUGAUGGUCUUUUUAUAUAUUUAAAUAUCUUACAAAGUCUGGACAAAAUUUGACAAAAGUAAAUACUCAUAUUCUUCAUGAUGUAAUUAUUGCUGACUAAAAAUCCUAUUUUCCCCAGGCUUGACUUAGAUGGUCCUGGAACUUUCUACCACUAAAGAUCUCUAAAAAGCCAUGUGCUAACGGCUUAUAGGGAACUUCCUUCUAAUAUUCCAUUUUAUCUCUGUAAUUGCUAAAAUCGCCUGGGAAACUAACUAGAUUAUUAGUUCAUGAGAAGACUUUUAUGGGUUUUCUAAUGAUCCAGAUAGUUUAUGCCUUACUCCUUCUGACUUUUCCGUGAAUUAUGUAACUUAAUGAUGAAACAAUGGAAGAUUAAAUAAAUAAAUAAAUAAAAGUCCUGAAAGGACAUUUAC
rnacentral:lncRNA from 1 species